rnacentral:rRNA from 1 species
GAACGCUAGCGACAGGCUUAACACAUGCAAGUCGAGGGGCAGCACAGGUAGCAAUACCGGGUGGCGACCGGCGCACGGGUGAGUAACGCGUAUGCAACUUGCCUAUCAGAGGGGGAUAACCCGGCGAAAGUCGGACUAAUACCGCAUGAAGCAGGGGCCCCGCAUGGGGAUAUUUGCUAAAGAUUCAUCGCUGAUAGAUAGGCAUGCGUUCCAUUAGGCAGUUGGCGGGGUAACGGCCCACCAAACCGACGAUGGAUAGGGGUUCUGAGAGGAAGGUCCCCCACAUUGGUACUGAGACACGGACCAAACUCCUACGGGAGGCAGCAGUGAGGAAUAUUGGUCAAUGGCCGAGAGGCUGAACCAGCCAAGUCGCGUGAGGGAUGAAGGUUCUAUGGAUCGUAAACCUCUUUUAUAAGGGAAUAAAGUGCGGGACGUGUCCCGUUUUGUAUGUACCUUAUGAAUAAGGAUCGGCUAACUCCGUGCCAGCAGCCGCGGUAAUACGGAGGAUCCGAGCGUUAUCCGGAUUUAUUGGGUUUAAAGGGUGCGUAGGCGGCCUUUUAAGUCAGCGGUGAAAGUCUGUGGCUCAACCAUAGAAUUGCCGUUGAAACUGGGGGGCUUGAGUAUGUUUGAGGCAGGCGGAAUGCGUGGUGUAGCGGUGAAAUGCAUAGAUAUCACGCAGAACCCCGAUUGCGAAGGCAGCCUGCCAAGCCAUUACUGACGCUGAUGCACGAAAGCGUGGGGAUCAAACAGGAUUAGAUACCCUGGUAGUCCACGCAGUAAACGAUGAUCACUAGCUGUUUGCGAUACACUGUAAGCGGCACAGCGAAAGCGUUAAGUGAUCCACCUGGGGAGUACGCCGGCAACGGUGAAACUCAAAGGAAUUGACGGGGGCCCGCACAAGCGGAGGAACAUGUGGUUUAAUUCGAUGAUACGCGAGGAACCUUACCCGGGUUUGAACGCAUUCGGACCGAGGUGGAAACACCUUUUCUAGCAAUAGCCGUUUGCGAGGUGCUGCAUGGUUGUCGUCAGCUCGUGCCGUGAGGUGUCGGCUUAAGUGCCAUAACGAGCGCAACCCUUGCCACUAGUUACUAACAGGUAAAGCUGAGGACUCUGGUGGGACUGCCAGCGUAACCUGCCAAGAAAGCCGGGAUGACGUCAAAUCAGCACGGCCCUUACAUCCGGGGCGACACACGUGUUACAAUGGCGUGGACAAAGGGAAGCCACCUGGCGACAGGGAGCGAAUCCCCAAACCACGUCUCAGUUCGGAUCGGAGUCUGCAACCCGACUCCGUGAAGCUGGAUUCGCUAGUAAUCGCGCAUCAGCCAUGGCGCGGGAAUAC